GACGAACGCUGGCGGCGUGCUUAACACAUGCAAGUCGAACGGAAAGGCCCUGCUUUUGUGGGGUGCUCGAGUGGCGAACGGGUGAGUAACACGUGAGUAACCUGCCCUUGACUUUGGGAUAACUUCAGGAAACUGGGGCUAAUACCGGAUAGGAGCUCCUGCUGCAUGGUGGGGGUUGGAAAGUUUCGGCGGUUGGGGAUGGACUCGCGGCUUAUCAGCUUGUUGGUGGGGUAGUGGCUUACCAAGGCUUUGACGGGUAGCCGGCCUGAGAGGGUGACCGGCCACAUUGGGACUGAGAUACGGACCAGACUACUACGGGAGGCAGCAGUGGGGAAUAUUGCACAAUGGGAGGAAGCCUGAUGCAGCAACGCCGCGUGCGGGAUGACGGCCUUCGGGUUGUAAACCGCUUUAGCCUGUGACGAAGCGUGAGUGACGGUAAUGGGUAAAGAAGCACCGGCUAACUACGUG
rnacentral:rRNA from 1 species